rnacentral:rRNA from 1 species
CGAACGGUAACAGCAGGGGCUUGCUCCUGGCUGACGAGUGGCGGACGGGUGCGUAACGCGUAGGAAUCUGCCUAUUAGUGGGGGACAACAUGGUGAAAACCAUGCUAAUACCGCAUACGCCCUACGGGGGAAAGCGGGGGAUCUUCGGACCUCGCGCUAAUAGAUGAGCCUGCGUUAGAUUAGCUAGUUGGUGGGGUAAAGGCUCACCAAGGCGACGAUCUAUAGCUGGUCUGAGAGGACGAUCAGCCACACUGGGACUGAGACACGGCCCAGACUCCUACGGGAGGCAGCAGUGGGGAAUAUUGGACAAUGGGCGGAAGCCUGAUCCAGCAAUACCGCGUGUGUGAAGAAGGCCUGAGGGUUGUAAAGCACUUUCAAUUGGGAGGAAAACAGGCAGGUUAAUAUCCUGCCUCUUGACAUUACCUUUAGAAGAGCACCGCUACUCCGUGCC